GCUGGAAUAGCUCUGUCGCUACAGCAUGAGAUUCUUAAUCUCUAGGUCAUGGGUUCAAGCCCCACCUUGGACA
rnacentral:tRNA from 1 species